GACGAACGCUGGCGGCAUGCCUAAUACAUGCAAGUCGAGCGAACAGAUGAAGUGCUUGCACUUCUGACGUUAGCGGCGAACGGGUGAGAAACACGUAAGGAAUCUACCUAUAAGCGGGGGAUAACAUUCGGAAACGGGUGCUAAUACCGCAUAAUAUCUUCUUCCGCAUGGAAGAAGAUUGAAAGACGGCUCUGCUGUCACUUAUAGAUGACCUUGCGGUGCAUUAGUUAGUUGGUGGGGUAAUGGCCUACCAAGACGGUGAUGCAUAGCCGACCUGAGAGGGUGAUCGGCCACAUUGGGACUGAGACCCGGCCCAAACUCCUACGGGAGGCAGCAGUAGGGAAUCUUCCGCAAUGGGCGAAAGCCUGACGGAGCAAUGCCGCGUGAGUGAAGAAGGCCUUCGGGUCGUAAAACUCUGUUAUAAGAGAAGAACAAAUUGUAGAGUAACUGCUACAGUCUUGACGGUAUCUUAUCAGAAAGCCACGGCUAACUACGUGCCAGCAGCCGCCGUAA
rnacentral:rRNA from 1 species